rnacentral:ncRNA from 1 species
UUAUGUUCAUGAAAGAAACUUGCUAUACAAGGUCGACUUACUGUGCUUGGUGAAAUGCUUUUCGCAUUUCUCUUUGUUGGGGCCCCACCCCCAACUUGCUUUGUCUGUUGGCUUUCUUUUUGAAAGCCUAUUUGUUGGGGCCCCUGUCUUCACUUGUCUUGUACUCCAAAGUGUCUUGCUAAAAUACGUCUCAUUGAUAUGUAAUUUUACAUCAACAUAUUUAAAAAA